rnacentral:rRNA from 1 species
CCUACGGGAGGCAGCAGUGGGGAAUAUUGCACAAUGGGGGAAACCCUGAUGCAGCGACGCCGCGUGAGUGAAGAAGUAUUUCGGUAUGUAAAGCUCUAUCAGCAGGGAAGAAAUAGCGACCUUUGGGUCGCCAGACGGUACCUGACUAAGAAGCCCCGGCUAACUACGUGCCAGCAGCCGCGGUAGUACGUAGGGGGCAAGCGUUAUCCGGAUGUACUGGGUGUAAAGGGAGCGUAGACGGCAGCACAAGUCUGAAGUGAAAUGCCGGGGCUUAACCCCGGAACUGCGUUGGAAACUGUGCAGCUAGAGUGCAGUAGAGGUAAGUGGAAUUCCUAGUGUAGCGGUGAAAUGCGUAGAUAUUAGGAGGAACACCAGUGGCGAAGGCGGCUUACUGGACUGUAACUGACGUUGAGGCUCGAAAGCGUGGGGAGCAAACAGGAUUAGAUACCCCGGUAGUC